rnacentral:rRNA from 1 species
UACGUAGGGACCGAGCGUUGUCCGGAUUCAUUGGGCGUAAAGAGCUCGUAGGCGGCCACUCAAGUCGAAUGUGAAACCUCGAGGCUUAACCUCGAGCCUGCAUUCGAUACUGGGCGGCUAGAGUCUGGUAGGGGGAGUCGUGGAAUUCCUGGUGUAGCGGUGGAAUGCGCAGAUAUCAGGAGGAACACCGGUGGCGAAGGCGGGAUCCUGGGCCAGUACUGACGCUGAGGAGCGAAAGCGUGGGGAGCAAACAGG